GUCCUUGCCGCCAUUUCACGUGAAAAACAGCGCGGUGAAAGAAACAAGCAGAGUGAUACUAUCAGAAAAACAGUAAGAUUUUAAAUUCAGUUCAUCAGCUACAGCUUUAACAAGCACUGUAGCGGAUUAAUAGCACGCUAGGGUCUAAAGGUUUUUGUCCUAACUGGCCUGCUUAGUUGUCUGGAGUAGAAGAAAAUGAGCUACGGAAGGCCGCCGCCAGACGUUGAGGGGAUGACCUCCCUAAAGGUGGACAACCUGACUUACCGAACUUCGCCGGAGACUCUGCGCCGAGUUUUUGAGAAAUACGGCCGUGUGGGAGAUGUGUAUAUCCCGCGGGACAGGUACACCAAGGAGAGCCGAGGCUUCGCUUUCGUGCGGUUCCUCGACAAGCGCGACGCCGAAGACGCAAUGGACGCCAUGGACGGCGCACUGCUCGACGGGCGGGAGCUUCGGGUUCAGAUGGCUCGAUACGGAAGGCCGCCAGACUCCAUGUACAGCCGGAGAGGCCCUCCGCCACGGAGAUACGGAUACGGACGCAGAAGCAGGAGCCGUUCAGCCAGUCCUCGCCGUCGAAGACGUAGCCACAGCCGGUCCAGGAGCAGAAGCCGCUCUAGAUCCAGGAGCCGCCACCACUACAGCCGCUCCAGGUCCCGUUCCUACUCCAGGUCAAGGUCCAAGUCUAAGUCCAAAUCCAGAACCCCCCGGCGAAGCAAGUCAAAGUCGCCCUCCAGAUCUCGGUCCCGCUCCAGGUCCAAGUCAAGGAGUCGAACCCCAGCUUCCAACAGAGGGUCCAGGUCAAAGUCGAAGUCCAGGUCCAGGUCCAAAUCCAAGAGUAGACCUAAAUCCCCAGAGGACACCGGAGCAGAGUCUUAACCCAAAUGCAGAUGCAACAUGACGCUGCGGAGUCCUGUUUGCAAAGGGAGGAGGAGGAGAUGGGGGUGUUGCAGUGUGAGAGCAGUUAGUGUGUGACCCGCCCAUGUGACCUGCCUGUUGCUGAGAGCGAUGGCAGGUACUAAGGAGCAGGUCAACAAGGCAACGGUGGUUGCUAUGGAGCAGGUCGUCAUGGCGGUGGUUCGGGCUGUCAGUUGGUGUAUGAGGUGGUGUGGUGAGGUACGUUCACGGGGACCACAGGCAGAUGCACUGUGGUGUCCUUCGCCUCUCACAAAGGGAACGGACCCCGAGGUUUGUUUUUCAAAUAUGCCCGAGUGUAAGAGACUUGUUAGAGCUAGUUUUGGGGAGAGUAAGGGCCAAGAAAGGUGUUUUGUUUUUUAUUUUGUUUUUUAACUAUUGUGACAAUAAAUAGAAAUGUUAGGCUUAUUAAGAGAAAUUAAUGUCCAUAGAGCCAGUUUGAUGUGUCAGGAGAAAUAUCAGUACAGAAUUACAUGUUACAGUCCAGGUCAGCUGCAGGAGUUGAUGUAACCUCUGGGUUUAGCUCUUGCUAACUCUGUUCUGUCUUUCCUUCCAGAUCUCAAAUGAUUGAUGCUAUGCUGAGGACAUCAGGAAGAGUCUCAGAUUGAAGUGGACUCAACUAUUGCCACUGAAUGCAGACUCAAAGGCGCAGUUGUGUAGCAGUUGAAUAAUGCUGGUUAGCUGUUAAGAUGCGGUGCAGUGCGGUGGUGACAUGGUGUGGCGUGUUGCGGUGCUGAGUGCCCGGUGUGUUCCGGGGCUCGACCCUCCGCUGCUGUUUGCCGGUUUGUAAGCUCACAGGUGUGGCAGAUCAUCCAUCCUCUCCUGUCUUGUGACUUCACUUUCCCUCCAUGUGCUGUACAGAUCCUCUUUCUUUUCUUUUUAUUCUCCCUCCUCCUUUCCCCCCUUUGCUCCUCUCUAUGGUUUAUCAACUGUUGAUAACUGGUCUUGCUCGCUUUGAAAGUGGUUCCAGUGGGACUCUUAGUUGAAGGGUUUCAAGGGCAGUUCUGCCUGCUUUAUGAUGUGUAUUGCAUUCCUCUGUGAACCUCUCACAUGUCUUGUAAGUGCUUAAGGUGAAUGCUAAUAAACAUUUUUGUUUAAAAUAAAAUAA